UGAUUAAUCUCCUCCAUUCUUAAAAAAAAAUAAAAUAAAAAAAUACAAGAAGAUUUUACUAAGAUAAAAGAAAUGCUAGUACAAGGAGGAGGACAGACAUUCUCUGUCGAGAAACAAGAACACACAACAACAAAACCUUAUCCUAUUAUAGUAUGCACUGUUAAACCACAAAUACAGUAUGCACUAUGCACCUUUAAAAAAACAGUAACAAAUCUAGUAUGCACUAUUAAAAAAACAUGAAAAAUUUGAGAAACUCACAAAGAAAUUAGGAGAAAUAAAAAUGACCUAUUAAAAUAUGGAAGCUAAAAAAGCUCGAAAACAAGAAGAUGACUUGGAUCAGAACCAAAAAGGGAGAAGGAGAAUGAAGGUAUCAGGGGAACCUAUGAGUGAAGGAAAGAAGGAAAAGUUCUGAGAGUUUGGUAUAGCAUUAAUGAAAGAUUUACGAAGUUGGAGUAAAAGAGAGUAAAAGAGAGAAAAAAAA